UUUUAUUUUAACCCUAAGAUGGAUCUAAAAGAACAGUCUUGGGAUAAGAGAACCUGAAGCCAACUGACCACGGAGAGAUGCUGAACUCUGUUGCGAACUUUUUCCCCUCAACACCUCCUUGAACUUGGAUUAACAAGUUUUGUAAGAAACCACCAGAUCUUACUUUCCACGGGCAUCGGUGGACUCUUCGCACGCUAAGUCUGGGGCUUUUGUCCGUUAUUUAGGUGGAGUUGUCUGUUUUAAGCUGGUGACUCUGCCCUCAGGAUGGUGUAGGUAACCAGGUGAGAAGACUGGACCUGCUGUGGAGUGUCUGGAAGGCCGGAGUGCUGCCCACCAGUCCCAGCAGGCGAGACCUGUGGAGAGGCUGCCUGCCUGCUUUCUUGGUUUCAUGCCACAGAGCAGCCAGAAACAGGACCUUCUCUAUUGCGCCA
rnacentral:lncRNA from 1 species